ACUGCAAUUGGCGGAAAAAAUGCGUACGCAUACUGCAACUCAUAAGGCUAAGAGUCAACAGCAUGCGUACGCAUGAAUAUAAGUGACAUGAAGGGAUGCAUGAAUGCAUGAAUGAAUGUGGCUCAAAGGCCCCAAAUCAUUACGUGUACACUAAAACCGUAGUGUAUUGAGCUGGCGUGGCGAUGGUGUCACCUUUGAGCCAUGUCUGUGGUCUAACAGCCACAGGUGUAAUCGGGUGUCGGGCAGUGCUCUGCUCCUUUUGUGGAGCCUAGUCGGCUCGGUUGCAUGCCAAUGAAUGCCCUUCAAAAGGUGUUCAUGGGCGGAUGGCACGUUUACUUUGAACAAAUUUGAGUGCUCAAAUCAGGCCGACGUUGCCUGAAAAGUUUUGCAUGGAAUAAUGGAAUAGGACUUCGGUUCUAUUUCGUUGGUUUUCGGAUCCGAAGUAAUGAUCAAAAGAGACAGGCGGGGACGUUUGUAUGGCUGCGUUAGAGGUGAAAUUCAUGGACCGUAGCCAGACAAACUAAAGCGAAAGCAUUCGUCAAGCAUGUUUUCAUUGGCCAUGAGCGAAAGUCAGAGGCUCGAAGACGAUCAGAUACCGUCCUAGUUCUGACCAUAAACGAUGCCAACUGACGAUCCGUGGCGGUAGUUUAUAAACCUUCCCCACGGGCAGUCCCCGGGAAACCUUUAAGUCUUUGGGUUCCGGGGGAAGUAUGGUUGCAAAGCUGAAACUUAAAGGAAUUGACGGAAGGGCACCACCAGGAGUGGAGCCUGCGGCUUAAUUUGACUCAACACGGGAAAACUCACCCGGGCCGGACACUAUGAGGAUUGACAGAUUGAUAGCUCUUUCUUGAUUUGGUGGUUGGUGGUGCAUGGCCGUUCUUAGUUGGUGGAGCGAUUUGUCUGGUUAAUUCCGAUAACGAACGAGACUCCAGCCUGCUAAUUAGUGCAUUUGUCCACUGUACCAGCCGAGCGGCGCAGUGUCAACUGCUUUGGCUCAGUGUGGUGUGGCUGUGUGGGGCUGUGUGCGGCGUGCUUGGCCUGCAUGUUGUGCUCGGGCGGAUGGCACCACGUUAGCUAGCAGGUGCGGCGCGAAUGCUUACUUCUUAGAGGGACACGCGGGAGAAGCCGCACGAAAUAGAGCAAUAACAGGUCUGUGAUGCCCUUAGAUGUCCGGGGCCGCACGCGCGCUACAAUGGCGGUGUCAACGAGUCAGACCUUCUGGCCUGAAAAGGUUGGGUAAACUGGUCAAUCACCGUCAUGACAGGGAUCGGGGCUUGGAAUUGUUCCCCGUGAACGAGGAAUUCCUAGUAAGUGCAAGUCAUAAGCUUGCGCUGAUUACGUCCCUGCCCUUUGUACACACCGCCCGUCGCUACUACCGAUUGAAUGGUUUAGUAAGGUCCUUGGAUUGGUGCCAUUUAGGUUCCACCGAAAGGUGAGUAUCUAGCCGGUGCUGAGAAGACGACCAAACUUGAUCAUUUAGAGGAAGUAAAAGUCGUAACAAGGUUUCCGUAGGUGAACCUGCGGAAG
rnacentral:rRNA from 1 species